rnacentral:rRNA from 1 species
GACGAACGCUGGCGGCGUGCCUAAUACAUGCAAGUAGAACGCUGAAGGAGGAGCUUACCUCUCUGGAUGAGUUGCGAACGGGUGAGUAACGCGUAGGUAACCUGCCUGGUAGCGGGGGAUAACUAUUGGAAACGAUAGCUAAUACCGCAUAAGAGUAGAUGUUGCAUGACAUUUACUUAAAAGGUGCACUUGCACCACUACCAGAUGGACCUGCGUUGUAUUAGCUAGUUGGUGGGGUAACGGCUUACCAAGGGGACGAUACAUAGCCGACCUGAGAGGGUGAUCGGCCACACUGGGACUGAGACACGGCCCAGACUCCUACGGGAGGCAGCAGUAGGGAAUCUUCGGCAAUGGACGGAAGUCUGACCGAGCAACGCCGCGUGAGUGAAGAAGGUUUUCGGAUCGUAAAGCUCUGUUGUAAGAGAAGAACGAGUGUGAGAGUGGAAAGUUCACACUGUGACGGUAUCUUACCAGAAAGGGACGGCUAACUACGUGCCAGCAGCCGCAGUAA